GACGAACGCUGGCGGCGUGCUUAACACAUGCAAGUCGAACGGAAAGGCCCUGCUUUUGUGGGGUGCUCGAGUGGCGAACGGGUGAGUAACACGUGAGUAACCUGCCCUUGACUUUGGGUUACUUCAGGAAACUUGGGCUUAUUCCGGAUAAGAGCCCCCUCUUCCUUGUGGGGGUUGGAAAAUUUUCGGCGGUUGGGGAUGGACUCGCGGCUUAUCAGCUUGUUGGUGGGGUAGUGGCUUACCAAGGCUUUGACGGGUAGCCGGCCUGAGAGGGUGACCGGCCACAUUGGGACUGAGAUACGGCCCAGACUCCUACGGGAGGCAGCAGUGGGGAAUAUUGCACAAUGGGCGGAAGCCUGAUGCAGCAACGCCGCGUGCGGGAUGACGGCCUUCGGGUUGUAAACCGCUUUCGCCUGUGACGAAGCGUGAGUGACGGUAAUGGGUAAAGAAGCACCGGCUAACUACGUG
rnacentral:rRNA from 1 species